AUUUGGCUGGAGUGGCGCUUUUCCCAACAUGAUGAUGUGUUGGGUUUGAGAGCAUAAAUCUUGUAUCUUUCGUUGGGAAGUGGAGCAAAGACAAAUAGCUGCAAGGCGCACAGGUGCUUGAAGAUUUCUCCUUUUCGCUAUACCAAAUCCUUGGAGAUCCCAGGCGGAGGAGGCCGUGCCAAUGCCUCACUCUGGUCUGACGAGAUCCAAGUGCUCCACGAGACGACCAAUCAACUCUCU
rnacentral:lncRNA from 1 species